rnacentral:rRNA from 1 species
ACGGAAGGCAGCAGUGGGGGAUAUUGCACAAUGGGGGAAACCCUGAUGCAGCAACGCCGCGUGAAGGAAGAAGGUCUUCGGAUUGUAAACUUUUGUCUUUGGGAAAGAAGAAAGUGACGGUACCCAAGGAGGAAGCCACGGCUAACUACGUGCCAGCAGCCGCGGUAAUACGUAGGUGGCAAGCGUUGUCCGGAUUUACUGGGUGUAAAGGGCGUGUAGACGGGACGGCAAGUCAGAUGUGAAAUUUAUGGGCUUAACUCAUAACCUGCAUUUGAAACUGUUGUUCUUGAGUGAUGGAGAGGUUAGCGGAAUUCCUAGUGUAGCGGUGAAAUGCGUAGAUAUUAGGAGGAACACCGGUGGCGAAGGCGGCUAACUGGACAUUAACUGACGUUGAGGCGCGAAAGUGUGGGGAGCAAACAGGAUUAGAUACCCUGGUA